CCUACGGGGGGCAGCAGUGGGGAAUAUUGGACAAUGGGGGCAACCCUGAUCCAGCCAUGCCGCGUGUGUGAAGAAGGCCCUCGGGUUGUAAAGCACUUUCAGUGAGGAAGAACGCCUGGUGGUUAAUACCCAUCAGGAAAGACAUCACUCACAGAAGAAGCACCGGCUAACUCCGUGCCAGCAGCCGCGGUAAUACGGAGGGUGCGAGCGUUAAUCGGAAUUACUGGACGUAAAGCGCGCGUAGGUGGCUUGAUAAGCCGGUUGUGAAAGCCCCGGGCUCAACCUGGGAACGGCAUCCGGAACUGUCAAGCUAGAGUGCAGGAGAGGAAGGUAGAAUUCCCGGUGUAGCGGUGAAAUGCGUAGAGAUCGGGAGGAAUACCAGUGGCGAAGGCGGCCUUCUGGACUGACACUGACACUGAGGUGCGAAAGCGUGGGUAGCAAACAGGAUUAGAUACCCGAGUAGUC
rnacentral:rRNA from 1 species